rnacentral:SRP_RNA from 1 species
GCCCCGCGCGGUGGCGCGUGCCUGUGGCCCCAGCUACUCCGCAGGCUGAGGCUGGAGGAUCACUUGAGCCCAGGAGUUCUGGGCUGUAGCGCGCUAUGCCGAUCGGGUGUCCGCACUAAGUUCGGCAUCAAUAUGGUGACCUCCCAGGAGCGGGGGACCACCAGGUUGCCUAAGGAGGGGUGAACCGGCUCAGGUUGGAAACGGAGCAGGUCAAAACCCCCGUGCUGAUCAGUAGUGGGAUUGCACCUGUGAAUAGCCACUGCACUCCAGCCUGGGCAACACAGCGAGACCCCAUCUCU